rnacentral:rRNA from 1 species
AGUGAACGCUGGCGGUAGGCCUAACACAUGCAAGUCGAACGGCAGCACAGUAAGAGCUUGCUCUUACGGGUGGCGAGUGGCGGACGGGUGAGGAAUACAUCGGAAUCUACUUUUUCGUGGGGGAUAACGUAGGGAAACUUACGCUAAUACCGCAUACGACCUACGGGUGAAAGCAGGGGAUCUUCGGACCUUGCGCGAUUGAAUGAGCCGAUGUCGGAUUAGCUAGUUGGCGGGGUAAAGGCCCGCCAAGGCGACGAUCCGUAGCUGGUCUGAGAGGAUGAUCAGCCGCACUGGAACUGAGACACGGUCCAGACUCCUACGGGAGGCAGCAGUGGGGAAUAUUGGACAAUGGGCGCAAGCCUGAUCCAGCCAUACCGCGUGGGUGAAGAAGGCCUUCGGGUUGUAAAGCCCUUUUGUUGGGAAAGAAAAGCAGCAGGUUAAUACCCCGCUGUUCUGACGGUACCCAAAGAAUAAGCACCGGCUAACUUCGUG